GAGAGGACCGGAGUGAACGAACCUCUGGUGUUCGGGUUGUCACGCCAGUGGCACUGCCCGGUAGCUAAGUUCGGAAUCGAUAACCGCUGAAAGCAUCUAAGCGGGAAGCGAGCCCUGAGAUGAGUCAUCCCUGACCCCUUGAGGGUCCUAAAGGGCCGUUGGAGACCACAACGUUGAUAGGUGGGGUGUGUAAGUGCAGCGAUGCAUUGAGCUAACCCAUACUAAUUACCCGUGAGGCUUAACCAUACAACACCCAAGAAGUGUUCU
rnacentral:rRNA from 1 species